rnacentral:tRNA from 1 species
CGUGGGCGAGCGGUCAAGACGCCAGGCUCAUGACCUGAUGGUCGUGGGUUCCAGCCCGG